AAUUGAGUGAAAAAGAGAAAAAGGCCCAAAAAUAAUCGCGAAAUGUAUUUAAAGGCGCAAGCGAAACCGUAGUCCGCAGCGAUGGGUCUCGCCGCGAUCUUGUGUCGAUUUACGGGGAGAGGCAACACUCAUUGAUUUUUAUAAUUUUUCGCGUUGUUUCGGAUAGUUUUUCGCGAA
ensembl:ncRNA Y48G8AL.18 ncRNA